GAUUAUCUCGCCACAUGUAACACUAAAUCAGAUUAUUGGUAGGGGAAACCAUCCAGGAAUAUGAAUCCAGACGAGAGGGAUUACAUGUUCAGGUAACAACUAAUUCAUUUGUCCACUUUUGCAAAACGUCAUUAAUAUACUUGGUCUGUUUAUUAUUAGAUUUAAUUUGGAGUUAGAAAGAGCUUGUAUUAGUAGCUGCCAUUCUAGAUUUGACAUGAAAAUUAUCAUUACACGCAAGAGAGUAGUAUUACACAUCUAAUCUAGGUGUUUCGUUGCUCUUUGGCCCACUCUGAAUUAUGCUUCAAAUUCAAUUAUACGAAUGGCUCUCAGCUGGUCAUCAAUUAAAAUUCAAUAUUUUCAUUCGAAUAUUAUACACGUAAUUGGAAAAUUAAAAUGGGGUGAGUGCCAAAAUAUACGAAAUUAUUAAAAAAAAAAAAUCGGUGGCAUACCGUCAGUCAAUGCUGGCUCGGAGCCACUUCCCGACCACCGUCAUCAUUAUUGUCUCCUGUAGCACCCCGAGCCAAGUCACUCAACAAUUCCGCCGGCGCAGCCGCCACAUCCUCCCCCACCAAAACGGCCACCACCUCUUUCAUGCUAGGUCUCCUCUGGGGAUCCGGGUGGCAACAUGCCAACCCAAUCUUCAAUACCAUCUCCAUCUCCUCCACCCCGUACUCCCCCUGUAUCCUCUCAUCCGCCGCCUCCACCACCUUCCCUUCGACAUACAAUUCCCUCACACAAUCAAUAAGCACCCUAUCCUCCUCUUCAUCCCGCCCCAUCUCUAUCGGUCUCCUACCGCUGGCCACCUCUAGUAUUACUACUCCAAAACUAUAUACAUCACUUGCCGCCGUUGGUACAGCAAUCGUUGCCAGUUCAGGCGCCAAGUAUCCCAAUGUUCCCACUACUCGCGUCGUGUUAGGUACUUCAUUGUGACUGUACAGCUUUGCAAGACCAAAGUCUCCAAGCCGGCCCCGCAUCUCCGAGUCCAACAAUAUGUUGCUCGAUUUAAUAUCCCUGUGUAUCACCACUUGGUCCCAGCCAUGGUGAAGAUAGUUUAGCCCUUCGGCUACAUCGGCGAGGACUUGGCGGCGUUGUUGCCAGUUCAAAAGCUUCUUCGGCUUGUUGAAUAUGUAACGAUCGAGACUGCCAUUGGGCAUGUAAUCAUAGACAAGCAUGAGCUCAUUGGAUUUUCUGCACCAGCCUCUCAUUUGCACUAGGUUCUUGUGUUGGAGCCUACCCAUGCUCGAGAUUUCUGCCAUGAACUCUCUCAGGCCUUGUUUGGAGUCGUGGUUCACACAUUUGACUGCAAUUUCCGUGCUGUUUGAUAGGGUUCCCUUGUAUACUUUACCAAAUCCUCCAGAACCCAGGAGCUGAUCUUGGGAGAAUCCGUUUGUGGCUUGGCUUAGCUCUUCAUAUGAAUAUCGAUGAGGCCAGUAUUCACGCUCCCAAUCUUCGAUCUCAUCCUCUUCUUGAUCUUUCAACUUCUUGUUUAGCCAGAACCUGUAAAGCCCAAAAGAAAGAAUAACUACAAAAGCAGCACAACCAAUCGUAAUCCCAGCGAUAGCCCCAGCUGACAAAGAAUUGGACGACGAUGGUGGCAAAAAAACUGGCAGAUUUGUGGUGUUAAUUUCUCUGGCGAGCCCUGUGUCAUUGAAACUCCAAGCCAAAAUCCUUUGUGGCUCAACCCAAGUCGUCUUGGAAGCUGAGAAUCCCACAUACAUCUCAGCAGAAACAUAAUUAGCAAUAACAGGAUUUUUAUAAUUGAGAGUAGGCGCAGAUGGACGAGAGACACCAAUAGGCGCAACUGUCACAUUUAUCUCAAAAUUGGGACCAUCAAAGUCAAUCCAGGCGUGAACAUUCUGCCCAUUGUUCAUAAUUACCGGCACAAGACCUCCAGAGGAAUUAUAAUAUCCAGCAGGUGCUGUCUUGGUAGAUUCAAUAUUAUUCAAAUCAAUCCCAAUAUGAUUCCCAUCAGGGUCAUUGAAUUCCGGAUUCUGCCCCGUAUCGAAUUCGAUAGCCAGAAGUGGAGCCUGAGAAGAUACAGUCGCAUUAGAGAAAAGCCCAAAAUACUGACUAGCGAGAGCAUUAGGAGGGUCGGUCCAGUUUGAGAGAACAAAGGUAAGGCCAAAGCCUGGACUUGAGGCGAUCUCUGGCAGUACAGAGAAAACGAAUGAAGUGGAGAAGGAAGACAGAAUAGUGGAGUUCUGGGUUUGUUUCAUUUGAAUCCUUGUUGGGUAAAAGGCACGUCCCAAGGAAUACUGGUUGGUAUCGUUGGUGAGCAGGAUGACCGAAGAGUCCACCCGGGCAUCACCUCUGAAAAUAACGCCGGGGGCCGUAGCAUUGAAGGAAUUGAAGAGAAAGUCGACGGAAAAACAGGGAUAGACCAAA
rnacentral:misc_RNA from 1 species